rnacentral:rRNA from 1 species
CCUACGGGAGGCAGCAGUGGGGAAUAUUGCACAAUGGGGGAAACCCUGAUGCAGCGACGCCGCGUGAGUGAAGAAGUAUUUCGGUACGUAAAGCUCUAUCAGUAGGGAAGUAAACGACGGUACCUGUCUAAGAAGCCCCGGCUAACUACGUGCCAGCAGCCGUGGUAAUACGUAGGGGGCAAGCGUUAUCCGGAUUUACUGGGUGUAAAGGGAGCGUAGACGGUAGCGCAAGUCUGAAGUGAAAUCCCAUGGCUUAACCUUGGAACUGCAUUGGAAACUGUGCAGCUGGAGUGCGGGCGAGGUAGGCGGAAUUCGUGGUGUAGCGGUGAAAUGCGUAGAUAUUAGGAAGAACACCGAUGGCGAAGGCAGCUUACUGGACUGUAACUGACGUUGAGGCUCGAAAGCGUGGGGAGCGAACAGGAUUAGAUACCCGAGUAGUC